rnacentral:rRNA from 1 species
UGGGGAAUUUUGGACAAUGGGCGCAAGCCUGAUCCAGCAAUGCCGCGUGCAGGAUGAAGGCCUUCGGGUUGUAAACUGCUUUUGUACGGAACGAAAAAGCUCUCUCUAAUACAGGGGGUGAAUGACGGUACCGUAAGAAUAAGCACCGGCUAACUACGUGCCAGCAGCCGCGGUAAUACGUAGGGUGCAAGCGUUAAUCGGAAUUACUGGGCGUAAAGCGUGCGCAGGCGGUUUUGUAAGACAGAGGUGAAAUCCCCGGGCUCAACCUGGGAACUGCCUUUGUGACUGCAAAGCUGGAGUGCGGCAGAGGGGGAUCGAAUUCCGCGUGUAGCAGUGAAAUGCGUAGAUAUGCGGAGGAACACCGAUGGCGAAGGCAAUCCCCUGGGCCUGCACUGACGCUCAUGCACGAAAGCGUGGGGAGCAAACA